UCCUCAAAGAAAAUUGAUAUUAACAGCACCACCAAAGGACUUGGUGGUUGGUACCCGAGACCCAAGUUCGAAUCCUAGUUGAUUCACAUUUCCAGCUAAGUUUAUUUCUAAAUGAAAUAAACGAAACGGGUAGCGUGCUAUCUAUCUCUCAAAUAAAACAGCACCAUUUUUUUUAUAAGAGCAGAGCAACUUCUAUUGUAUUAUCCGUCUUGCGUGAACAUAAAAGU
rnacentral:lncRNA from 1 species